GCGGUCGUGGCGGAAUUGGUAGACGCGCAACGUUGAGGUCGUUGUGUCCGAAAGGACGUGGAAGUUCGAGUCUUCUCGGCCGCACCA
rnacentral:tRNA from 1 species